GUCUUUUUGAUUAUAAUUUAAAGUCUGACCUGCCCUAUGAAUUAAUUUUUGAAUGGCCGCGGUACUUUGACCGUGCAAAGGUAGCAUAAUAAUUAGUUUAUUAAUUGUGAACUGGUAUGAAUGGUUGGACGAGAAAAAAACUGUCUCAAUUUAAUUUAAAUUAGAAUUUUAUUUUUAAGUAAGAAAGCUUAAAUAUUUUUAAAAGACGAGAAGACCCUAUAGAGUUUUAUAUUUUUUUUUAUUUUUAAAUUUUGAGGGAUUAUAGAUUUAUUAAUAUAGGAAAGUAUUUGAUUGGGGCGAUUGAAAAAUUUAAAGAACUUUUUUUAAAGAUAAAACAUUUAUUUAUGAAUAUUUGAUCCAUAUAUUUAUGAUUAGAAGAUUAAAUUACCUUAGGGAUAACAGCGUUAUUUUUUUUGAGAGUUCUUAUCGAAAAAGAAGUUUGCGA
rnacentral:rRNA from 1 species